ensembl:lncRNA
CUAAUAUAUUGUGAACACAAUAGACAGUGUGGGCUCUGUAAGAUGAAUGUUUUUCUGCAUGCAAGCUGCAACUAAAAGGGCUAUUUUUCCCUUUCAUUAAUCUAGAAUAAAUAAUGGUUAUAAUAUUACAUAACUCUUGCCUUAUCUCUGGCAGUUUCUUCGUGCUGAAAUAGGAGAUUGCUGCAGUAUGCAGCACAGCUUCUCAGUGUGCUCUGUAUGAGAGACAGAAAGGGAGUCAUUCAUGCUGGAAAAUAUCUGGCAAAAUUUCAAAGUUGCUUCCCCUUUAAUAAUUCUUAAACAUGGCUAUGAUGUGUUCCUGAAAUUUUAAAUACAGUUAGAUGUACAUUUCUGUUCACUGUUAGUGAAUUAUCCUCCCACCCCACCCCCCUCCCCCCCCCCCCCCCCCCCCCCCCCCCCCCCCCCCGUAUAGCUUCCGGUGGUUCAAGACUAGUGUGAUUCUAAACGGAAGUACAGCAAAAUCUAGUUAUCAUUUCUGGAAUCUACAAAAUCCUUAGGCUGAGCAGACUUUUGUGACACAUGACUUAUGAAGCGCAAUGCAAUACACAGAACAGGAGCAACUUACCUCUGAUAGACCUGACAUGACAGGCAAGCUCUGAAGCUUUACAGAUAUUGGGAUUCAUCACAGCUGAAAAAGGACAUGCAAAUCUGAAGAUGUAAUGCAUCUAGAAAGGAAGAACACUCCUCUACAAAGAGAGAAGUUUGAGCAGAAGUUUGAGCAGCCAACAGCCACUUCCAUUUUUCUAGGACCCUCCCUAGCAAAGCAAUGUGGAGAUAAGUAUUUCUCCUCCCAGCAAGUUCAGCUCCUUGAGGAAGGCUGAGGCAGCCCUGCCAGCUCCAGAUCUCAGCAGCUGCGGUUGCAGGCCAGGCAGCUGCGUGGCCCUGUGGCCCUCCCCAGCACAAUGCCUGGCAGGCAGCAGCCUCAGUGGCUGCUUCUGGCUUCUGCUCAGCUGACAAUAUCUAAAUCAAAGUGCUCUGACGGGGCCUGGACCAAAGCUGGACACAACAGGCCGCUCGGCACUUUCACAAGCAAAGCCACCUGGAUGUUGAAACAGACCUGAGGGUCCUAACGUCGGAUAUUCAGGGAAGGCACCUCAGGCUCGCCACUCCAACUUUGCUUAACAGGAGCAGACUUGGGUCAAAGGCUGACUGCUAUGGAAGACACAGCUCUGAUAUUUGAAAACCUAAGCAUGAGUUUCCAGUGCUGGAAUGUCACCACCUGCACUUUAUAUAACAAAUUAAACUGAAUUGUGACAGCACUCACAUGAUAAUUUUGACUUACUAGCUCCUUUGUCUACAUUUUGUAGUUCCUUGAGUAGCUAUACAGCUACACAAAACCAAAAUGUAAUAGAUAUCCUAAGAAAAAAAAAAAAAUAAAUCCCUGCUCACAGAGUGCUGUUUGAUUUGCUUGUGGUUUUUGAACUGUAGUACAAAAGAACCAGAGAGCUAUUUUUUUUUUUUUUAAACAUGCCGUGGCAUCUCAUUGUGAAAUACCUAUAAUACCUAGAAGAUGCUUCUUUGUGUUUCUUAUGACCAAAUGAUAGGUGGGCUACAGAGAUGUGAUGUGAUAAGGACAGUCAUCCUGCUACAAAUGAUUCUACUAAAUUACCUGUACUUUUAUUCCAAUUAACUGCCUGAACUAAAAAGUUAGCAAGUAUGCUACCAUUGGCCAAAAAUACCCAGCCUUCAUUCAGCUGACUUGUUUUAAUGACAGAGACACCUGUGCUGAAUUCUCAAACAGCAGUCAAUCUACGGCGUUUGUUAGAUCCCUAAAAGCAUACAGGAUAAAAGAAACCAAUAACUGAGACUGAGCACAAGGCUUUAUAAUGGACUCAGUAUGCCUCACACUCCUUGGGCCACCUAUGUGACUUGAGUCUUUUCCAAAUAUAUUACUACAAAAUCCUCCAGGCAUCCUUUCAGACCCCAGAAGCCUGUAGAAACUCUUGGAUCUUUUGCCAGAUCCCACAAACCUGUAGAUAUCCUGGUUGUUUUGUUUUGACAUGUGGAUUAAUUCUUACUCUUUUUGCAUUGAUUUACCUACAUUUUAAAAAGCAUAUUAAUAUUCAGAGAAGGAGGAAAACCAAAUAAGACAGAAACAUUGUCUAUUAAUAAAUUUUGAUGGAUCCGCGUAGUCCAUUUCUUUCAGUUAUGCCUGUCAGUCUUCAAAUGUGAUAUUUUUUUCCAUGUGGUCUGUGUCAACUUAGCUUACAUACUACAAAGAUCUUCACUGAAAGGAAAGGGGAAGGAAACAAAACUACUCAUGACUUCUAAUCAGAUGGAAAAACAAAAGCAAAACAAAACAAAAAAUAUUAACACCUAACAUACCUUACUGACACUACAUAGAAUUGAACUGAAUAUCAACAGGAGGUAGAUUACAUAUGUGCAAGUAGGUAAGUAGGUUUCUGGUUAAGUUGUCCUGUGGGCAGUAUUCUCUAAUAAUCCCACAAUACUCUUACAGGUCAGUGGUCUUUCUAAGUGAAUAUAAUGCUUUCAUAUUUUAAGGUUUUAAAAUGCAUUAAGAAUACUUUAUCCUUUAAAACUAGAAGUCUUAAAAUCACAAUAAAACACAUAAUUGCUAGAUUUGGCAGAAGUCCUGGA